rnacentral:rRNA from 1 species
AUUGAACGCUGGCGGCAGGCCUAACACAUGCAAGUCGAACGAGUGGCGGACGGGUGAGUAAUGUCUGGGAAACUGCCUGAUGGAGGGGGAUAACUACUGGAAACGGUAGCUAAUACCGCAUACCAUCAGAUGUGCCCAGAUGGGAUUAGCUUGUUGGUGGGGUAACGGCUAACCAAGGCGACGAACCCUAGCUGGUCUGAGAGGAUGACCAGCAACACGGGAACUGGGAAACGGUCCAGAUUCCGACGGGAGGAAGAAGUGGGAAAUAUUGCACAAUGGGCGCAAGCCUGAUGCAGCCAUGCGGCGUGUAUGAAGAGGGCCUUCGGGUUGUAAAGUACUUUCAGCGGGGAGGCGUUACCCGAAGAGGAAGCACCGGCUAACUCCGUGCCAGCAGCCGCGGUAAUUC